UACGUAGGGGGCAAGCGUUGUCCGGAUUUAUUGGGCGUAAAGCGCGUGUAGGCGGUCCGGUAAGUCCGCUGUGAAAGUCGAGGGCUCAACCCUCGAAUGCCGGUGGAUACUGUCGGGCUAGAGUACGGAAGAGGCGAGUGGAAUUCCUGGUGUAGCGGUGAAAUGCGCAGAUAUCAGGAGGAACACCAAUUGCGAAGGCAGCUCGCUGGGACGUUACUGACGCUGAGACGCGAAAGCGUGGGGAGCAAACAGG
rnacentral:rRNA from 1 species